GCAAUUCUUACGUACCAGUCCGGCUGUAAUUCAACUAUAUAAAGGUGUAGGGAGGCUCAGCUGGCUGGCUGUUGGAGUGGGAGGGGUUCUGGGAGUGUCCAAACUGUCCACGUGAAGAUUCUCCUGAACAAAGAGACAGGUAUGGGCUUGCAAGCACUUUCUAUUUGUAAAAGCUAUCAGUUAUAGGAUGUGAUGCGAAUGAAAAUAUGUAUGAAAUCCCUAUCCAUCAAAAUCGACGGAAAUGAGAAUCUACAAAGCCAGUUGAGAUAGAACACAUUGGGACUUAAAAGCAAUGGGAUGUGAUUCAGCAAAGCUUCCCAAUUCUGUCGCAUGAUAGGACGACCACGGAGGGGCCAAGAGUGGUUAAACCUGUUUCACCCUGUGACUCAGGUUACUGCUCAUGUUACUUGACACACAGAAACCUAGUCAUACGUCAUUCCUUUGGUGUUUAUUCUUUGUUUUUACAUUCAGACCUGAAGGCAACCACAGGACUAAACCACGGUAAGGCUUUUAGAAUUUCGUCUCCUGUUUGAUUACCAUUAUUAUAAUCUCCUCUAUUGUUAAUGGCUUAUUUGUUUUUCGCCAUCACUGGACUAUGCUCAUUGAAUGUUGAAAGGAUUUUGUCAAAGAAACGUGGACUCGAAAUGCCAACCUAGACGCCAUAUGGCAACUGUCUAACACACUUUGUCAUUGCUAAUGAAGGCCUGCACGCGUGCGUGUGUGUGUGUGUGUGUGUGUGUGUGUGUGUGUGUGUGUGUGUGUGUGUGUGUGUGUGUGUGUGUGUGUGUGUGUGUGUGUGUUAGUUGUGUGUGUACAUGCGGAUGGCAAAGAUAAGUCGCUAUUUAACCGUCAGUAAUAUGAUUUUAUUUGUGAUAAUAUCCAUGGGAAACAAUCCUAUCUGACAGUUUGAACAGGGACCCAAAUCAGGGGAUGAAAAAAACACAUAAAUAUAUUAAAGUGAGUUUUGUUCAUCUGCUAAAUAAAUUAGACUCCACUAAUUGUGUGAAUGAUAGAAGAAGUGAUCAUAUUUGAUUGUGUUUUCAGAUUUUACAUCUGAAUUGUAAAUAUCUCUGAAUGAUUCAUUUAGGCUUAAUCUACCAUGCUAAAUGGAUGUCUGUUAUUAAUUUGUCUUCGACCAUACACUGAAUGUCAGGCUGGUGAUAAUGUUAAAAAAUGUUAGUUAGAAAGUGGUCCUCAAACUAAAAUGUAAACCCAAAUGUCAUGUCAAUAAUUGGAUCUCUAUGAAGUCCCUCAUGGAUUGUUUGAAGUAGCAACAACCACAUAGAGUUAUAGCCGUUUCUUGCCCUCCAACAACAACAUGCUAUUAGCGUUAGUUAGCACCGGUUACAUUCAACCAGGAAUGCCGUUCGACCGCUGUGUUACUCUAAGGCACAGUGAGAUGCCGCUGGUUUAAUUACACUUUAAAUGAUUAGCAUCUCAAGCCUUCACAAUAAACGUAAUGAAGACAGACAGACAGGCAGACCUGGACCAGCUUGAACCAAGACACCCCCUUUCUGUCUCCUCAUACACAGCUUUGUGCCGGUGCGGUACAGAAAGGGGAUACGAUUUUAGGCAUUUAGGGCGAUUAUUUGAUUUAAACUCUCUUGAGUCCUCUCGGAAUAGUGGAGUAUCGCCAACAAAAACUCCCAUGAUGCAUUCUGAGGACCAAGCUCUAUAAUGUCAACUCCUUCAUGACCCUUCCCUUCCUCCUUUUUCUUUUAGUAAUUUAAUAUCCCAGACAUCAGAGACGUCACAGUCCACAGCGAAAUACCAAAUCAAAAACAAUGGGCAAGGGUGAAGGUGAAAUGUGGGACGAUGGUGACCUGGCCCCGAGGCAAACUCAACCCCCGAGCUACGAGGACACGAUGAGGACGGACACAGCACCGAAGCCCAAGGGCAGCAGCUGCCCCACGUGUUGCCUAAAGACCCGGGACUGCCUGAUGAGCGCAGAGUGUGGACGGUGCCUCCAGAUCUCCAGCGUGGUGGCCAUGUGUGGAAUGUGCCUCCGGAUUUUUAUAUAAUCGAAUCUUGGAUGCAAUGGCACGGAUGUUUUGAGCAGGGAGUGAGAGGAAUUAAUUCUCGGUUGGAUCAACAAGAUUUCCCACAUAUUAUGUAACUUCCUUGCAGGCUCGGUGCCACGGGGGGGGGGGGCGUGACGACAAGACGACCAUCCCCGCCCCCUUAGUGAAAAUGAAUAGAUGUUAUGUUUAAAAUAAUUUAUUUUUACACAACUACGUUCCUACAACUAAGUUCCUAAGUAACAGUUUAGUCUACAUUUGCAAAUCAAAUUAAUUUGUUGUUUGGGUUGCUAGAAGUUCAAAAAGGUGUUUUCUGUGUGGAGGAAUUAACACUCUCGCAAUCAUACUGUCAUUGUGAGCAAGCAGAAGCACUAGUCUAGCUGUCUCAUUUAGUCGUACAUCCAUUUUGCACUACAAAAUGGAUGUACGAAAAUGGAUAACAAAGUGAUUUCAAAUGGAUCUAGUACUGAUUCAACGUAAGGGAUAUAUACUUCUUUACUGUUGUGCUGGCAAAGAAGCAGUGACUUUCAAUGGGCUUUGCUUAGCUCUAUUUCAGCAAUAUCUUUACUAUUGCCAUUGCAGAUUUAACCUUGGUUUUGUGGCAAUGUUCUGCAACUAUGAUAAAGUUAUCAUUGAGGUUCAUAUAGCAUUGGGUUUUGUCGAUUGUUGCGUAUUGGCGGCGCACUGUGUGCGUGCGUUGGUUAUGAUAGAUAUUUUGUCGGCGUACAACUGUAGGUGUUGGGUGUUUGGCAACACCCCCUCUCCGUAUUGCGUCGCCCCCUGACUGGCGCCCAGGUCUGCUUCCCUGUAAUAAUUAAGAUGUAAUUAAUGCAAGGUUGAUCAUGUAAUUAAUUGCAUGUAGUUAAAAGAUAAAAAAGGAACUGUACAAUAAAGGUUGAUUAAAGCACCUGAUAUUUAUGGUUUAUUACUUACUUAAUCGUAUUAAUUUUGACAUUUUACAUUUUUGAGCCAAUUGAGAUGGACAUUUUAUAACUAGUUUGGCUCAGAAUUGUACCUCAACAUGACUAAAUUAGUAUGAAAGCGGGUGUUGUUGAACUAGGGCUUAUCUCACCUGUCUUCUGGAGUGUGUGUGUGUGUGUGUGUGUGUGUGUGUGUGUGUGUGUGUGUG
ensembl:lncRNA